rnacentral:rRNA from 1 species
AGAGUUUGAUCAUGGCUCAGAUUGAACGCUGGCGGCAGGCUUAACACAUGCAAGUCGAGCGGAAACGAUGAUAGCUUGCUAUCAGGCGUCGAGCGGCGGACGGGUGAGUAAUACUUAGGAAUCUACCUAGUAGUGGGGGAUAGCUCGGGGAAACUCGAAUUAAUACCGCAUACGACCUACGGGAGAAAGGGGGCAACUUGUUGCUCUCGCUAUUAGAUGAGCCUAAGUCGGAUUAGCUAGAUGGUGGGGUAAAGGCCUACCAUGGCGACGAUCUGUAGCUGGUCUGAGAGGAUGAUCAGCCACACCGGGACUGAGACACGGCCCGGACUCCUACGGGAGGCAGCAGUGGGGAAUAUUGGACAAUGGGGGCAACCCUGAUCCAGCCAUGCCGCGUGUGUGAAGAAGGCCUUUUGGUUGUAAAGCACUUUAAGCAGUGAAGAAGACUCCAUGGUUAAUACCCACGGACGAUGACAUUAGCUGCAGAAUAAGCACCGGCUAACUCUGUGCCAGCAGCCGCGGUAAUAC